UCUCUUUCCUAAGUCUUAAUGGUCUCAGUUCCAUUUACCAGUGUGCUAUAUUAACUCUGUCAACUUUUCUGUGUUUACUUUUUCUAGCUGUUGCGUGGUUCUCUAAAUAACAGGCACGCGCGUAGAUCACAAUUGUUUGAUCCAUCAAGUGUAGACAUCUGUGGACCUCCUACCAAGAUAGCUGCCUGAUCUCCUUCCCACCUUUCUUCUCCCAUCCUGUCAGCAUAACUAUUAAAUCCAAGAAGGCAGAGGAGGAGAAGAAGAAAAGACAAAACCAUGGAUAUCUCAGAUGUUAAAGGGCUUGGUUUUCUGAGCACAAGAGCAAGUCAUCCUACCGGAACAGAACGGAAACUCCCGUCUAAGGUGAUACUUUCUGAAAGGCACUUUGAAAACAACCCCCC